GGUAUAAACAGAAGAAAGAAAAGCAUUUAAGAUGUCGGCUUUCUCUCUGUCCUCACUAACCAAAUUUCCAGUUUCAGAUAAUAACGUACCAACAUUCUCUACCUUUAACUUUUUUCCAUUCACAUACUUGAAAAAUUUCUUGGGAUUGGUUUUACUUUCCUUGGCAAUAAGUUUCUAAUUUUCUAGUUUAGCCAUUUUAAUCUCCUUUUUGCAGGCUUUGUUGGCAUCUUUGUAUGCCAUAAAUGAUACUACCGACCCCUCGCUUUUAUAAUGCUUAAAUGCCAAUUGUUUAUUCCUUAUUUCCCGUUUUACUUUCCAGGUAAGCCACAUUGGUUUUGAUUUGUUUCUUUUGUAUUUGUGCAUUUGUCCUCUGUGUUUAACCCAGAGAACAAUCCAUCCCAGUCUAUACAUUCCAUGGUCGACCUUAGCCUGUCAAAGUUUGCCCUUCUGAAAUUGUGUUUUGGUAGAGCAGUUACCCAUUUGCUUUUUGGAAUUAAUCUCAAAUGAAACCAUGUUAUGGUCACUAUUUCCUAAGUGUUCUCUUACUUUAAUGUUUGAGAUAAGUUCCUCAUUGUUAGUUAUUACCAGAUCUAGACAGGCAUCCAUUCUGGUUGGGGUCUCUACUAAUUGCGACAUAAAUUGGUCAUUAAGCAGGUUCAGAAACUUGCUGCCCUUAGUGGAACAAGUU